CCCAGGGGGUGCCCUGAACGAAGGGCUGAGAUUCCAAAGCGCAACGCUGAUCCGUCGCGGCAGGAGAACCCAUAGCACCUGAUCCGGUUCGUACCGGCGGAGGGAAUGAGGAU
rnacentral:ncRNA from 1 species